GGAAAACUCAACGACAGCGUGAAAGCUCCAUAUAUUUUAACAAUCAUCGUGUUGGGCAGAUUUCUAAUGCAAAUGAUAAGAUUUGAACAAAGAAAAGGAAAAACGAUUCUCACCUUGGAAAAUCGAAAUCGAAAUCUUCAACAUAUUUAACAUUAAAACGUAACGGGACCGUUACGUGUAUAUGUUAAGGCAAAUAAAUUAGUAAUCUCGCAGGAUAAGAUGGAGUGGAACUUGACCUUAAACCAUGUAUAUAAAGGCCAAGGUUGUUUGUAGUACCCAAAUCUCCUUCACCAUCAGCCAUCAAGUUCGCGCUAGAGCUUUAUUCAAAUACAUGUACUUAUAUGCAUCUAGACUUUGUGUACAUGACAUAAAGAGGAUUAUUAAAAUCUUAAGCAGCCUGUUGGAUUAAUAAUAGAAGAUAUUAUUAAGCACAUGGUAAGCCAAAAGUCGUUAGAUCCUUUUAAAGGAAUUGUAUAGAAAUUUCAGUUUCUUUCCAUAAAUACUCCCUUUUAAUAUUAUUGUAAGAAUUAAAGCUAAAAUAAGGAGAAAAAGCACUUUAUUUAUUGUAAUUAACACCGACGUUUCGCCUUUUGAUAUAAGACCCUUUUGCAGUCUACCUUGAAAAAUAUUUAUACCAAAAGAUAAUACGUCGAUGUUGGUUACCAUAAAUAAAGCGAUUUUUGCCACCAUUUUAGCUUUAAUUUUUACAGUUUUAUUGAUAUUAAUAUUUACCUUAAUUGCCGAAAUUAUGCAUACAAGAAAAGUACUUCUGUUUUUCAAAAAUAUUAAAUGUUU